AAGUCGUAACAAGGUUUCCGUAGGUGAACCUGCGGAAGGAUCAUUAAUGAAACACAUGGGCGCUUUUUUUAAAGGCCCAAACCCACUCAUUAUCAUCACCCUGUGCACUCAACUUUUUUAUUUUACCUAGACCCAAUGCAGUUAAAAGAAUGUAAAAUUAUUAUCAAAGCAAAACAAAAAAAAACUUUCAGCAACGGAUCUCUUGGCUCUC
rnacentral:misc_RNA from 1 species